ACCCCAACUAGACAAUAAUACACAAUCCAACUGAUAAGAUACAGUAAGGGCUGUGAUAUCCACUUUUUUUAAGGAUAACAAAAAGAUUAUCACAUGACAUUUGCAUGUAAAAAAAAAAAGUCUGUGACCAACACAUUGUUACUUUACAUAUAUCUGUUUGUUUAAAGUUUCCAGGUGAUGCAGCAGACAGAGCAGAGGAUGCUGACCACGAGAGACAGACCUAUUCCUAACAUCAGUGAACUUCAGCAUGGACUCAAAGGAAAGGACAUACCUGAAGGACACAACUGCCUCACCGUUUUCUCAGAGGGGCAAGAAGAAAAUGAGAAGCUUAUUUCAGAUUAAAGACCAAUACAGGACAUUCA